rnacentral:rRNA from 1 species
AUUGAACGCUGGCGGCAGGCCUAACACAUGCAAGUCGAGCGGCAGAACAGUGCUUGCUUCUGGUUUCAGCGGCCGACGGGCGAGUAAUGCCGAGAUACCUCCCUAGUAGCUGGUGAUAACGUCCGGAAACGGGCGCAAAUACCGUAUACGUCCUGAGGACGUACGUGGGAAAUCUUCGGACCUCCCGCUAUUAGAUGAGCCUAUGUCGGAUUAGCUAGUUGGCGGGGUAAAGGCCUACCAAGGCGACGAUCCGUAACUGGUCUGAGAGGAUGAUCAGUCACACUGGAACUGAGACACGGUCCAGACUCCUACGGGAGGCAGCAGUGGGGAAUAUUGGACAAUGGGCGAAAGCCUGAUCCAGCCAUGCCGCGUGUGUGAAGAAGGUCUUCGGAUUGUAAAGCACUUUAGGUGGGAAGGAAAGGCAGUAGGUUAAUACCUUGCUGUUUUGACGUUACCAACAGAAUAAGCACCGGCUAACUUCGUG